ensembl:snRNA U2 U2 spliceosomal RNA
AUCGCUUCUCGGCCUUUUGGCUAAGAUCAAGUGUAGUAUGUGAAGAAACAAACAAAAAAAAUGGGUUGUCUUUCAUUUUGCUAAUUUCUAUUGUCCCUCCGUUCGCAUUUUAGAAAUAUUCUGAUUGCUUGUUACUCUAAGAAUAUCUCUCU